rnacentral:rRNA from 1 species
AUACCCGUAGGUUUUAACCCCCGCCCGUAGAUUUUGAUCGGGCGAGGUAAGUUGUAACAGGGGUCCCUAAAUUUUUAAUAACGGGCCCCUGACUCUGGAAUAAGCCCGGGAAACUGGGUCUAAUACCGGAUAUGACUUUUGACCGCAUGGUUGAGGGUGGAAAGAUUUAUCGGUUGGGGAUGGACUCGCGGCCUAUCAGCUUGUUGGUGAGGUAAUGGCUCACCAAGGCGACGACGGGUAGCCGGCCUGAGAGGGUGACCGGCCACACUGGGACUGAGACACGGCCCAAACUCCUACGGGAGGCAGCAGUGGGGAAUAUUGCACAAUGGGCGCAAGCCUGAUGCAGCGACGCCGCGUGAGGGAUGACGGCCUUCGGGUUGUAAACCUCUUUCAGUAGGGAAGAAGCGAAAGUGACGGUACCUGCAGAAGAAGCGCCGGCUAACUACGUGCCAGCAGCCGCGGUAAUACGUAGGGCGCAAGCGUUAUCCGGAUUUAUUGGGCGUAAAGAGCUCGUAGGCGGUUUGUCGCGUCUAUCGUGAAAGUCCGAGGCUCAACCUCGGAUCUGCGGUGGGUACGGGCAGACUAGAGUGAUGUAGGGGAGACUGGAAUUCCUGGUGUAGCGGUGAAAUGCGCAGAUAUCAGGAGGAACACCGAUGGCGAAGGCAGGUCUCUGGGCAUUUACUGACGCUGAGGAGCGAAAGCAUGGGGAGCGAACAGGAUUAGAUACCCUGGUAGUCCAUGCCGU